UUUAAGGUAUCAACUUCCAUUCUCCAAAUGGUAUCCAUUCUACAAAUGGAAAUAGGAGAGUGCAGUGUGGUCUCUGUCGCUCAUGCUCAGUGAACACAGCUGGGUCCAAAGGUGUCUUUCCGGGAUUAGAUGGCGAAGCUGGAGUAUCCCUUGUGAGGAAUUCCUACUAAGGAAUCUCUGCCUAGGCGGCUUGUGGGGCAAGAGUAGGUGCUGAGUUGCUCUCCUCACCAGUGCACGAGGCAUGCAGAUUAUAUGUGCAAACUCCCUGAUGAAUAAGGAGAGCAGCUAGUAACUCAACUAAGGGAAUAUCCAUGGCUCCUGUCCACCUCCCAGGCUUUCUAGAAACAGCAGAUGAAACCAUCUGGGCAGAGAUCUUUGAGACUCAGUACACAAAAGUCAGAAUUUACAGGAUGCUCUUGCAAGCAGCAGAACUAACACAGGACCAGCCUUCUUCACACCUCACAUCACAGAUGAGCAACCUGCUACAGUGGACCACAACAAAUUCCUGAAGGAGGAAAUGAGCAAUUAUCUAUAUCCAUGAAAGUCACGUUGAGAGAACAUAUUCAUGGGGACAAAUUUAGGAUAAAUGCAAAGUAUUUCUUGCCUUUGGAAAUUGUCAGAGAUUAGAAUGCCAGGGGAUCGUGUGGGAUCAUCCCCUUGAGUAAUAAAGAGGAGACAGAAGACAGGCAGUUACCUCCUGAGUCUCUUUCAUUCUUAAGGUGUAGGUCAUCUGCGUCAGACGGAUUCUAAAUGCCAUCAUCACCUGGACAAUUUGGGUGAUGAGCAGGUUUUGCCAUUGCCCAAAUAACCACUGUCUGAUGGAAGUAGGAGCUCC